AUUUCCUCCCUCCCAAAACUUCCUCAACUGAAUUUCCCUCCCACUCGAAACAGUCAAACCCUUGUCUUCUCCCUCUCUCUUUUGGGUCGUAGUUUCUCUUCUCCUCUACAUCGUAUCUCCUAUCUCUUGGUAGCAUGUGACAACGAGCAACGACGAACCCAAGAGCAUUUGUUCCCGUGGUGAACUCCGACAGCCGCUUUACUGAGCGAUUUUUUGAGCGGCGAUCUUCUGUGCUUCGUUCUUCACGUUUUUCCUUUGGAAAAUGCUGAACAUUUGCUGUGCCUUUGAUACUUGAUGCUACGGAAAUUAUAUUCCAAAAGGCACUUGAUCUUCGAAGAAGUGGUGCUAUUUGUUUCUUAUACUUUUGAAUACAUUACUAUUUGGAGAUUCAACAAUGUUCAAAGACUUCAAGAGAAGGUUACGUAGCGACUUGAAGAAGAUUAUGGAUGGUCGGAUCCUUGCUUCUGAAACUAGACUAGGAGGGAAAGCAAAGCCCGAUCUGUGAUACCCACACCUUUUUGUCAUCAAAUCUACAAAUCCCAACACUUUCACCAUCGUUUCAGCAAAGUUUAGUGGGUUUCAAUCCGCCUCAAGAAGUUAGGAGCGUUUAGGCGAGUUAUUUCUUGUGGAGUAUGGAGAAUAUUAAACAACAAAAAAUCAAUGGAAGCAAAUGAUGGAUUUAGAGCAAUAUGGAAGCUUCAUACCUCCAAUGCAAUUGGUUGGUCUUUAGUUCAAGUGGAAAGGUGGUUUUGCUUAUGUGGUUGUUGGUGGUUUAUUGGCUUUCAUAGGAAAUGUGUAUUUUCAAUUACCUUUAUCUUUAUUUUCAAUUAUCAUGUGCAACGAUUCUACAUCA